rnacentral:rRNA from 1 species
GAUGAACGCUAGCUACAGGCUUAACACAUGCAAGUCGUGGGGCAGCGGAUACUUAGCUUGCUAAGUAUGCCGGCGACCGGCGCACGGGUGAGUAACGCGUACCGAACCUGCCCAUCACACAGGGAUAGGCUUGCGAAAGCAAGAUUAAUAUCUGAUGGUCUCAAUUUUAUGCAUGUAUGAUUUACUAAAGCCUUCGGGCUGUGAUGGAUGGCGGUGCGUCCCAUUAGGAAGUUGGCGGGGUAACGGCCCACCAAUCCUUCGGUGGGUAGGGGUUCUGAGAGGAAGGUCCCCCACAUUGGAACUGAGAUACGGUACACACUCCGAAGGGAGGCAGCAGGGAGGAAGAUUGGUCAAUGGGAGAGAGCCUGAACCAGCCAAGUAGCGUGAGGGAUGAAGGCCCUUGCGGUCGUAAACCGCUUUUAUCAGUGAAUAAAGUGCACAACGUGUGGUGUCAUUGCAGGUAGCUGAAGAAAAAGGACCGGCUAAUUCCGUG